CGCCUUGGGAGCGGCCCGCGUCGGAUUAGCUAGUUGGUGGGGUAACGGCCUACCAAGGCUUCGAUCCGUAGCUGGUCUGAGAGGACGAUCAGCCACACUGGGACUGAGACACGGCCCAGACUCCUACGGGAGGCAGCAGUGGGGAAUCUUGCGCAAUGGGGGCAACCCUGACGCAGCCAUGCCGCGUGAAUGAUGAAGGCCUUAGGGUUGUAAAGUUCUUUUGCCCGUGACGAUGAUGACGGUAACGGGAGAAUAAGCUCCGGCUAACUUCGUGCCAGCAGCCGCGGUAAUACGAAGGGGGCUAGCGUUGUUCGGAAUUACUGGGCGUAAAGCGCGCGCAGGCGGUUUUGUAAGUUAGGGGUGAAAUCCCCGGGCUCAACCCGGGAAUGGCCUUUAAGACUGCAAGGCUAGAGGACGAGAGAGGUGAGUGGAAUUCCCAGUGUAGAGGUGAAAUUCGUAGAUAUUGGGAAGAACACCGGUGGCGAA
rnacentral:rRNA from 1 species